UUAUAAAAAUUUAAAAUUAAUUACUUAAAAAUUAAUAGUUAAGUUCUUUAAAUUUAAGAGAUUUGGCGGUAUUUUAGUCUUAUUAGAGGAACCUGUAAUUUUAUUGAUAAUCCACGAUUAAUUUUACUUAUUUUAAAAAUUCAUAUAUCGCUGUCAUGAAUAUAUUUAAAAAUUUAUUUUCUUUAAUUACUUUAAUGAUUUAUGUUAAGUCAAGAUGUGGUUUAUAAAUAAGUUAAUUAUGGGUUACAAUAAAUUUAAUUUUUGGAUUUAAAAUGAAAAUAAUUGAUGAAAUUGGAUUUAAUAGUAAUUUUAAUUAUUUAAUUAAUAUGAAUAAAGAUCUGAAAUAUGUACAUAUUGCCCGUCAUUCUUAUUAAAAAUAAGACAAGUCGUAACAAAGUAAGUGUACUGGAAAGUGUACUUAGAAAAAAAU
rnacentral:rRNA from 1 species